rnacentral:lncRNA from 1 species
UUGAAUCAAAACCUUUAACUAACUGAAAUGAGCUACAAAGUCAAAACAAGACUAAACUUACUAUAACUGGACUAAAACCAUGCUCGAUCGAAUAGAUUGAACGAUGAAUUAAACUGAACUAAAGAAAAGAAAGAGAGAAGGAACUUACUGAAUUUUUAGUCUCCAAAAGAAAAUCUACGAAAUUGACUUCAAGUUAAUAUUAUACGUCCAUUUCAUAAGAAAUAGACCUAUAAUAUUAACCUGAAGUCACUCGACUUGGAAAAAAAACCUCCGAACAACCCAAAACAACGCGAACCUUCGAUUCUGAAUUCGUCCAGUUCCGGUAGCUUUUGACAGAAACUAAUGAGGUAUUAAGGAUGAGGGAUGUCAAGGGAAGUUAUUGUGUGAAUUUGGGCCGG